rnacentral:tRNA from 1 species
GGGGCCGUAGUUCAGUUGGGAGAACGCCUGCUUUGCAAGCAGGAGGUAGGGGGUUCGAACCCCCCCGGCUCCACCA